UACGAAGGGGGGCGAGCGUUGUUCGGAUUUACUGGGCGUAAAGGGCGCGCAGGCGGUCUUGAAAGUCAGGCGUGAAAGCCCCGGGCUUAACCUGGGAAUUGCGCUUGAUACUCUGAGACUGGAGUACGGGAGAGGAGAGUGGAAUUCCCAGUGUAGAGGUGAAAUUCGUAGAUAUUGGGAAGAACACCAGUGGCGAAGGCGGCUCUCUGGACCGUAACUGACGCUGAGGCGCGAAAGCGUGGGGAGCAAACAGG
rnacentral:rRNA from 1 species